UGAAACAGAUAUAUCAUUUUAUUGUCAACCAUAAGUAGGAAAAAUACAGAGUUGUAAUGGAAACAAGCUGACCCUGUUUAAAACCAACUACAAGAAUACUCAGAAGAGAACAACAAAAUAAACACCUGUUUUACCACCAGGUGGCUGUAAAUGUCCUAAUUUUACAUUAAAAACAGCUGCCAUUAUAUAUUUUUGUAUAUAUAUUUUUCAAAUAUGUAACAUUCUAUUUCAGACAUUGUGCAGGUGAGUUGCUGGUAUUCCAUAGACAUUUAACAAGAGAUGGUCCAGUGCAUGACUAGUGAAACAUUACCUCAGUACAUGUAUUAACUUUCAGCUGGCCACAAGCCUUACCAUAGCAUUCCUACUUUUACUUACAAAGAGAUAGAAACAAAUUAAGAAAAAUUAAAAGGGCACUCAAAUGACAGACAGGUAAUUGUAUUAUCUUCAAUACAUUUUUGUAAAAGCAUAAGAAACUGAAAAUUAAAGUAAAAAAGUUGAAUUUAGUUUUUUAAGCAUUAUUAUUACCAAAUAUGGGUUAACAAACACCCAUGAGGGAUGCACAUUUUCUAUGGCAGCUCCAUUUUAUCAGAUCUUUUUAUUUUGGUGGCCACACAUGCACCAGUUAUCAAAUGUCUGUAGUGAAGAGCUAGUGUGCCAGGGAUUCAAGUUGUCUCCAAAAUCCACAGUGACUAGCACCUGCCAAACAUCCUCCUUCCCAAUCUCUAAGGCAGAAGUAAACAAUUUCCAUCCUGGAUUGCUAAAACCUAGUUAAUUGUAAUCACCUGGUGUCCCAAACCAGAAUCAGUCCCUGUUUAAGAGAGAAUGGCCAAGACCUUCCAAGACCAGAAGACCAGUACCCCAUUACAACCUUGAAAUCAGGGAGUGAUUUAGACCCAGGACACCAGGCGGGUGAAAUCCAUGAAAACAGAUCAGGUACAACAGAAAACAAUCAGGAUCCAGAAAGUAAGGGUUGAAUAACUUUGCAUGUGGGUCUGCAUCCAGAUCAAUUGGCAGCAGAAACAGUGUUCAGAUUUAAAUAUUUUAAUAAAUGUUAGUUAAACCAUUGGAAUCCUAGAAUGCUGCCAAUCUACAAGCAAAUAGCCUUUUAAACAAGCCAUCUCAAUGUCAGCUACUACCAAUGCAGCCGCAUCCGAUAAUAUGGCUCAACAAAGCAAAGGGUAAACUUUUGAGAUUCUAACUGGGUGACAAUGACAAACCUUUAUUUAUAUGUGCCUUUAUUAUAUCUAGAUUCUUGUCAGAUAUUUAAAAGAUGCUGUUCAAAUCAAGUAAUCUUGAAUUAAAAGUUAGCAACCAUAUAAAUCUAUAAUUCAGUGUGCCAACAUUUUUACAAAAAAAUACAUUUGGUUUGAGAAUCAAAAAACAAACCAAUCACAAAACAAACCAAUCACUCUACGAUAACAUCUGUCAUCAUACGGUAACAAUGUAUUUCAAAAUAGGAAACAUGAUACAUUAUUAAUUCACAACUUACACAAAAACAAAUUGUCGCUACAACAUCAGCAAUCCAAUAUAACUAACUACAUACAUUGCUUUUUCUUGAAAACAUCUGAAACAAAAAAGGGUGGCAAAGUUCAAAAGGGACAACAGAAAUGGAACAAUCUUUUCUACUUGGUAAAUUAUUUUUAAAAUAUGCUUUUGCAAAACAGCAAAAGUAUCAUUUAAAAAAAGCCAAGAAUAGCUGCACUAGUGGUCUACAGUAAGUGCUUGUCAAUCCACUGAAUAAAAAUUACAUUUUGGAAAGCAAAACAAAGCACGCAAGAUGGCCUUGUAGUAAAUUAUCAAAACCUUAAAAACAGACUGCAUCUGUCCGAUCUUACAACAGUUUGGAAACAAGCUGGACUGCACCAUAACUCCUGUUAACAAGCUCACUGAGCAAUAUUUAAGCAUUUUCAGCACUGUAUCUUCUUCCCCCACCUAGUGUCAUCUGUACAGUAUACAGUAUGUGGUGAGUGGACUUAACGAUUAGCUUUGAAGUAGAAUAAAUCAAAUGGCACAAGAGACAAUGGAGGAUUACCUGUGGUCCAGCAGUAGACAUAAGAGAACACAUUGAAAUAAAACACGUUUCAAAAGGAUCGCCUGAGUUGUGGAGUCAGUGGCUCUAGAUAUAUACAGCCAUUUUACACUGGACUGUGGGGGGGUUCCAAAUAAAAACUCUGCAUGAUCAGGUAAAUUAUAAAGACAGACCAAAUUACGACAUUAUAAAAUUGAUCUAGUUAAGGGACAAGAGCGGUUUAUAGUUAAAGGUGCAAAAAAAUAAACAUAGCCCAUUUCAAAACAGUAAAUUGACCUGAUUACUCUAAAUAUCAAUGAAGUUAGAUAAGGAAAUAUAAAUAAUAGUACAAAAACAACUACUACUAAAGGUUUUUUUUUUUAAUUGAGAAAAACAGGAGGCCAUUCAGGUGGUUACUGCAUUUUUGGGAACAGAAUCAGUGAGGCACAAUGUUUCAUGUUUAAGCGCAAAUGCCAAAUAUGAGAGAUAUGACAACAUUGCAAGAAACCUGACUCUGAAAUGCAUUCAAUAAAAUAAAAAAAGUGGUUCAUCGGGUAAAUGUAACCUGGUCGAGUGCAAAUAUCAGAGAAAACCUGUAUAAGAAACUAUUGUUUAGUCUUUUGUACAUACCGGUCUUUUACAUUUUCUUCAACAUUUAUAAUAAAAUGUUUGCCUAAAUUUACAAUACAAUCCUUUUAUCCGAAUCUGACCAUACAUACAUGUACGAAACUAUGUAAUGUAUUAGGACUACUUCAGUUCAUAGACAAUCACGUUAAGUCCAAGGUUUUUAAUCAAACAAAUAGCUAAGCUA
ensembl:lncRNA